UUCUUUGUAACUGCCACCAAAUGUCAUGUGACAAUUUGUCAUAGUAAAUGAUAAAUCUUUUGUGGGAUAUUAAUUCUCCAAACACUGUUGAGGAAUCCAGAAAUCAUAUGUUCUUCAAUUGCUGCUACUCAGAGUAUCCGCAACGGCGGUCCGUAGCCGAAUCCUUAGAAUAUAACUGAUUAAAAAAAUGCGAAAUAGGCAAGGAUCGGUACGGAUCGGUCCGUAAACAAGGCUUGGAAGGACCAAAUCCUUAGUGCACGUGGCGUGUGAAGAUUGGGUCGGCGAGCAAACGAGUUUGGUAACACUGGGAAAACAACAUUCGCGACCGAAGGCGAGAAAAAAAAACAGAGCUGGAGACGAAAAGGCGAGUUCUCUCCAUCUUCGAUCCUCCUCUUCUGUCAUCUUCUUCUGUGGUAGAUUAAAGAUUUCCAAAGGGAGAGUCACGGUGAAGGAGGUUGUAGGGUUUAGAAUCAAAUCGCCUCUGAGGAAAGACGAGGUUGAAGAGAGGGAUAAGCCUUUGAAGGCUCCAAUUAGAUUCAAACUCAUCUUUGCAAAGUACGCAGCUUUAACAAUGUUCUUGAUUGCUGCAAGACUUUCCAGAAACCUUCUCCCAUUCAGUCGCAUUCGUGGCCUUUUUUGUUAGAUGGUCGUGAUCUUAUCGGGAUUGCCAGAACUGGUUCAGGUUCGUUAUGUGUUUGUGUUAGCUUAGCUAGUUUCAGAACGUUUUUUUUUUCUUUUUGAAAUUGGAACUUUAUUGGCGUUUGGGAUUUCUGUGAUUAUGCACACGUUGAAGAAGAACAAGUAUGUGUAACGUCUUUGUUCACUCAAACUUAUGUUGGUGUAAUCUACUCAAACGAAUUUUCCAAUAUGGCUUUGAAGUUUACGUUCAA